rnacentral:rRNA from 1 species
UACGAAGGGGGCUAGCGUUGCUCGGAAUUACUGGGCGUAAAGCGCACGUAGGCGGCUUUCUAAGUCGGGGGUGAAAUCCUGGAGCUCAACUCCAGAACUGCCUUCGAUACUGGAAAGCUCGAGUCCGGGAGAAGUGAGUGGAACUGCGAGUGUAGAGGUGAAAUUCGUAGAUAUUCGCAAGAACACCAGUGGCGAAGGCGGCUCACUGGCCCGGUACUGACGCUGAGGUGCGAAAGCGUGGGGAGCAAACAGG